rnacentral:rRNA from 1 species
GACGAACGCUGGCGGCGUGCCUAAUACAUGCAAGUAGAACGCACAGUUUAUACCGUAUCUUGCUAUCCCAUAGACUGUGAGUUGCGAACGGUUGAGUAACGCGUAGGUAACCUGCCUGGCAUCGGGGGAUAACUAUUGGUAACGCUAGCUAAUACCGCAUAAUAUUAAUUAUUGCAUGAUAAUUAAUUUAACGGUUCAAUUUCACCACUACUAGCUGGACCUGCGUUGUAUUAGCUAGUAGGUGAGGUAACGGCUCACCUAGGCCACGAUACAUAGCCGAGCUGGGGAGGUGGACCGCCAACAUGGGACUGGAGAACGGCCCAGAAUCCCACGGGAGGCCACAGUAGGGGAAUUUCGGCAAUGGACGAAAGGCUGACCGAGCAAAGGCGCGGGAGUGGAGGAGGUUUUCGGGUUGGAAAAGUCUGUUGUAAGAGAAGAACGGGUGUGAGGGUAGAAAGUUCACACUGUGACGGUAUCUUAAGAGAAAGGGACGGCUAACUACGUG